CGUUGAAACAUCGAUUCGCGUAGGAUCAUCGAAGUUAAGCAACGUCAAGCUUAGCCAGUACCAAGAUGGGUGACCGCUUGGGAAUACCUGGUACUGUAA